UCAUGUCUUCAUUCGUGUACUUUGGAUAAGGAUGUCUAUCAAAACUUGACAAGUGUCUGUUGAAAUCUGAAACCAUAUCAUACUGUUCCUAUAAGAUCUAUUGGUCUAUCUUGCACUUAGAAGGAUACUAUAAUUAAUUAUACAGUUUGGUGCCACUGCCUUGAUUUGUGCUAAGACUCCAGCAGUCUCACCUACUAUUGCUUUUGCACCAUCAAAUAUCACCACAAUAAAAAAGGCAAAAAUGUCUUAGUAUUAUUAAGAAGAUAGUUUUGACUCAUGGAUUCUUUCAUCAAAGAAUCUUGGGAACUUUAAGGGUCUUUAGACCACACUUUGAGAACCACUGAUUUAGAGGCUUGAUCAACCUUAGUUUUGCAACUGUAAGCUUUUAGAAGAAAAGGACUCUUCUUGUUUAGCAGAAGUCCAGAUCUUGAUCUAAAUCACACUGAAAAUCUGUUCUAGGAAUUGAAACCUAAUGAAACGUUCUUACACAUCUUUCUAGGAUAAGAAUCACAGGUUACUGUUACUGGAAUAACCUGAAAUACUUCAUGUUAGUACAGUAAAUACCAUUUCUUCUUUACAUUUAAGAGAAUCUGGGGAUGUAGCACAGUGGAAGAAUGCUUCCUGGCACACACGAGGCUCUAGGUCCAAUUGCACCACACACAAUACAAAUAAAAGAAUCUAAGUUCCUAACUUAAGUGGCUAAAUAACUAAAAUACUAAAAAUCAAUGAGACAAUUUGAAGAGUUUUGUCAUUUCUAGGGGCCCCUCAUAUCAAUCAUUUCCAGAAUAGAGGAGCCUUCGACUUAAAGCCAGUUGUCAAAACUACUUAACACGGCCAGGAAGCACCAUUUUUGCCUUCUGCUUUUUGUCUUUUUUCUUUCUUGUACUUCUUUCCUCAUCUCAGUUUUGUUUCCUUUCCCCAUCUGUUUCCUACCAAAGUUUCUAAGACUCUACCCCAACUCUCAUAGCUUGUUCCAGAGCAUCCUCUUCUUCAGUGGUUAAAAAAUAUUAUCUGCAGGCUGUGAUUCUCCAAUUCUCUCCACUCUUGAAUCACUGCCAUAUUAAUUGCUUCCAUGGGGAACUUUCUAAAGGAGAGAACUGUGUUCCUUUUAUCAUUUUUUCCCUUUUCCUCAAAUAUAUACAAUCAUAAAGUCUUAAAAAAUACAUGAUUUUUCUUUGAAGACUGAUAAUGAUGUACUAUAGUAAGGAUCUCAUAAGUUUUUAGUUUAAAAAUAUUUAGCUAGACUAACUUAAAUACUACUUAUAGUCUGUAUUACCUUUCUGUUAUUGUGACAAAUUAGCUGAGGUAAUCACCUAAAACAAGGAAAGGUUUAUUAAAAUUGGCUUGGGGUUUCAGUCCAUGGACAGUUGGCCAGUUGAGACAUAGAACGCAGGAGCAUAUAGUGAAGAUGGCUGUUCACCUCAUGGAGAAGAGAGGAGGGAGAUUUUCAAGUCUUGUGGUGCUGAGUAUGAGAAUGACGAGUAGUUCACACACUGUGCAUUCCCAUCUCUGUCACUGGGAGUCCUGGUAAGUGGUGGAGGACAUGGAUGGAGUGUCCAGUAGAUAUGACCACCAGACCAUAAUAGCCCUUCUGCCCUUAUCAGUAUUUGUAUUUUCAAAAUUAAGUUAAUACCUUAAAAAUCAAAGUUAAGUUUUGCUGCUUGGAACUGUAGUCGUUGUCUUCUUUUCUUGGGAGGAAGAAUAAGUAAAAAAAAAA